rnacentral:rRNA from 1 species
CCCUACUGCUAUCGGGGUGGGACUAAGACAUGCUAGUCGAGCGCCUUGAGCUAUGGCGAGGCGCGGCGUACAGCUCAGUAACACGUGGCUAACCUACCCUUAGGACGGAGACAACCCCGGGAAACUGGGGCUAAUAUCUGAUAGGUGAGGAGGCCUGGAAUGGUUCUUCGCUGAAAAGGCGUUGAAACCAUGCUUUUCAGCGUCGCCUAAGGAUGGGGCCGCGUCCGAUCAGGUUGUUGGUGGGGUAACGGCUCACCAAGCCUAUAACCGGUACGGGCCGUGAGAGCGGGAGCCCGGAGAUGGGCACUGGGACAAGGGCCCAGGCCCUACGGGGCGCAGCAGUCGCGAAAACUCCGCAAUGCGCGAAAGCGUGACGGGGCUACCCCGAGUGCCGUCCGCUGAGGAUGGCUUUUCCCCGGUGUAAUGAGCCGGGGGAAUAAGGAGAGGGCAAGUCUGGUGUCAGCCGCCGCGGUAAUACCAGCUCUCCGAGUGGUAGGGACGAUUAUUGGGCUUAAAGCGUCCGUAGCCGGCUUAGCAAGUCUUCUGUUAAAUUCAGCGACCUAAUCGUUGAGCCGCGGGAGAUGCUACUAGGCUAGGAGGCGGGAGAGGCCGACGGUAUUCUCGGGGUAGGGGUGAAAUCCUAUAAUCCCGGGAGGACCACCAGUGGCGAAGGCUGUCGGCUAGAACGCGCUCGACGGUGAGGGACGAAAGCUGGGGGAGCGAACCGGAUUAGAUACCCGGGUAGUCCCAGCUGUAAACGAUGCGGGCUAGGUGUUGGGGUGGCUACGAGCCACUUCAGUGCCGCAGGGAAGCCAUUAAGCCCGCCGCCUGGGGAGUACGGCCGCAAGGCUGAAACUUAAAGGAAUUGGCGGGGGAGCACCACAAGGCGUGAAGCUUGCGGUUU